rnacentral:rRNA from 1 species
AGAACGAACGCUGGCGGCAUGCCUAACACAUGCAAGUCGAACGCUUCCGGGGCUUCGGUCGCGGAGGAGUGGCGCACGGGUGAGUAGCGCGUGGGAACCUGCCCUGUUGUGGGGGAUAACCGAGGGAAACUUCGGCUAAUACCGCAUACGCCCCGGGACUUGGUCUUCGGAUUAGGUCUGGGGGGAAAGAUUGAUCGCAGCAGGAGGGGCCCGCGUCGGAUUAGCUGGUUGGUGGGGUAACGGCUCACCAAGGCGAUGAUCCGUAGCUGGUCUGAGAGGAUGAUCAGCCACACUGGGACUGAGACACGGCCCAGACUCCUACGGGAGGCAGCAGUGGGGAAUAUUGGACAAUGGGGGCAACCCGUGAUCCAGCAAUGCCGCGUGAGUGAUGAAGGCCUUAGGGUUGUAAAGCUCUUUCGCCCGCGACGAUGAUGACGGUAGCGGGAGAAGAGCCCGGCUAACUUCGCGCCAGCAGCCGCGGU